rnacentral:tRNA from 1 species
GCCCCCGUAGCUCAAUCGGAUAGAGCAAGAACCUUCUAAGUUCGAGGUUGUGGGUUCAAGUCCCGCCGGGGGCG